AAUACACGGAUUUAUUUGUCAGGAACUUGUUUUGGAUUUUUAAGUUAGUCAGGAUAGUGUGAAAUAAAUGUUUGCCGAUGCCCGAAGAACAUCAUAAGCAAACCAGUGCGACUUGAAAAGAAUUUCGCCUUCCGGAAAUGGUCGUGCUGCAAUUGAGAAAAUAUUUGAGAUUGUGACUGCCUAAUUAACCUCUUGAAAACUCACGUCAAAAGGGCACGAAUGGUUCAUAUUGGAAUGGCUUCUGAAAAAUUCGUACAUAUAGGCAUCCGCAGUAAUGUUGUAGAGGAAUGGCUUAUAGCCACUGGAUUUUUUAUGGAGUGCAAAGUUUAUCUGGAAGGACGAGAGUUUCUUUGGAGAAGUUACUUCAAAAACAUUUUUAUACACGCACUUUGGCCCUGGUGAUGGGAAUUGUAUAAAGCUUCACUUUCACGGUAAACUCCAAUUUGGAAGAGAUCUAAAAUACAGUUUCAAUGCUUAGGGGUUAAAAUAUAAUACAGUAGCCCUUACUGUCCUGAAGACACUAAGGAGCAAAAUAACCUGCACUGCGUUAAUAUAACCGAAGCACAUUUUUGAGGUGGGUAUAUGAAAUAAACUGAA